rnacentral:lncRNA from 1 species
AAGAAUAAGAAAAGAAAAUCAAAAAAGCCACAAACAAUGGAACCAAAGAAGCCAUUGAAAUAGGUGGAAGUAUAUGACAGAACUACCAGCCAACGUCAGGAAUGCUGUUGGUUAUGAAGCAAGAACUUCGUAGAAAAAGUUUAAUCCACACUGAGACAAAUCAUCAGCCUCCACCCUCUGCUCUCUCACCUGUAAGUCGCUUUCGUGUUACCUGUCCUGGGCACAUUUUUCUAGUUCUUCUUCCUGAAAUCCCCACCCAGCUAUCAUCCCUUUUCUCACGUAUAUCUGACUGCUUCAUUGUGCUUCCCAAUGAGCCUGUUCUCUAUGACUCUCUCUCCCUGUGGUUCAUUUCUGUUAGGUCCACAAUUCCUUCAUAACCACACAAGCUGUUUACGUCCAGACUUCCCUGUUGUCAUUAUCUCCCGCGGCAGACUUACCCAUUGAUGACCCCCCCCCUUCUGGUCCUGCCUUCCUCCCGGGCUUGUUUGGACAAGCAGCCCAGCCUCUCCCACUGACAUUCACUGAGUGCCACUCCACACAUAACAGGAGACUGGGUUGGACCUAAGAAAAUAAUAAUUAUUAUUAUAGCUCCCACUUUUCGAGUGUCUACUCUAUGCCUCGUGCCAGGCUAAGGUCUUUACGAGCAUGAUCUCAUUUCAUCUUCACAAUAACACUAUGUGCUACACAAUCUCAGUAUCACAAGUGAGAAACCUGAGGCUCAAAGAAGCUACAUAAGUUGCCAAAGAUCACACAGCUGGAGAGGUCCUGCCAGGCUGUGAAUCCAGAUCCAGUUUAAAGUCCUGGCUCCAAAUCACCAUGCUAUAUUCCUUCCUGAGAGCCUGCUUCUAGAUUUUAGGCCUUUUCAAACUGCAAUGAAGUCCCACACGUGAUUUGCCAAUUCUAAACAUAGGCACAAAUCCUCCCAAACUCUACUUCCCAUGCAACUGCCUCUUUGGUGGUGAUAUUUUUCUACAUUAUAUCAUUCCAAAUUCUUUGCUGAAUAUGAGAGAAUUUAAAUUAAUUUUUCAAAGUGUAAUUUUAAUAUACC